CCCAGACACCUUCACGGCGAGGCAGCAGUAGAUCUCGCAAUGGACGAAGUCGAACCGAAGCCACGCCGGCUGAGUGAUGAAAGUUUCCGGGAUCGUAAAGCUCGUGUGUUAGGAGGAACAAGUGCGGAGGAGUACUGCCUCGCACCUGACCGGGUACCUAACCAGAAAGCACGGCUAACUACGUGCCAGCAGCCGCGGUAAUACGUAGGUGGCAAGCGUUGUCCGGAAUUAUUGGGCGUAAAGGGCUCGCAGGCGGUUCUUAAGUCUGAUGUGAAAGCCCCCGGCUCAACCGGGGAGGGGUCAUUGGAAACUGGGAAACUUGAGUGCAGAAGAGGAGAGUGGAAUUCCACGUGUAGCGGUGAAAUGCGUAGAGAUGUGGAGGAACACCAGUGGCGAAGGCGACUCUCUGGUCUGUAACUGACGCUGAGGAGCGAAAGCGUGGGGAGCGAACAGGAUUAGAUACCCUGGUAGUCCACGCCGUAAACGAUGAGUGCUAAGUGUUAGGGGGUUUCCGCCCCUUAGUGCUGCAGCUAACGCAUUAAGCACUCCGCCUGGGGAGUACGGUCGCAAGACUGAAACUCAAAGGAAUUGACGGGGGCCCGCACAAGCGGUGGAGCAUGUGGUUUAAUUCGAAGCAACGCGAAGAACCUUACCAGGUCUUGACAUCCUCUGACAACCCUAGAGAUAGGGCUUUCCCUUCGGGGACAGAGUGACAGGUGGUGCAUGGUUGUCGUCAGCUCGUGUCGUGAGAUGUUGGGUUAAGUCCCGCAACGAGCGCAACCCUUGAUCUUAGUUGCCAGCAUUCAGUUGGGCACUCUAAGGUGACUGCCGGUGACAAACCGGAGGAAGGUGGGGAUGACGUCAAAUCAUCAUGCCCCUUAUGACCUGGGCUACACACGUGCUACAAUGGACAGAACAAAGGGCUGCAAGACCGCAAGGUUUAGCCAAUCCCAUAAAUCUGUUCUCAGUUCGGAUCGCAGUCUGCAACUCGACUGCGUGAAGCUGGAAUCGCUAGUAAUCGCGGAUCAGCAUGCCGCGGUGAUUAAGUUUCCGGGCCGCGCACACUAAGUCGUAACAAGGUAACCACGCUAGAGUUUGAUCCUGGCUCAGGAUAAGUCGUAACAAGGUAACCAUGCUAGAGUGUG
rnacentral:rRNA from 1 species